AACGCACAUUGCGCCCCUUGGUAUUCCAUGGGGCAUGCCUGUUCGAGCGUCAUUGACACCCUCAAGCUCUGCUUGGUGUUGGGGCCGUUGUCGUUUCCUCGCCCCCCCCAGCGACACAGCGACACCCCUCAAAGUCAUUGGCGGCCUUUCUGCCCAGCUUCCCGCGCAGCAGUUCGCGCUUUGGAGACUACUUUGGCAGGCUGGCAUCCAUCAAGCUGACCCUUCAUGCUUGACCUCGGAUCAGGUAGGGAUACCCGCUGAACUUAA
rnacentral:misc_RNA from 1 species